rnacentral:lncRNA from 1 species
GACUCAGCGGAACAACUUUGAGUCCGUGAGGAGACUUGUAGUCAAUGCACUGGGAAAAGCCCAGUCCCCAGUCUCAGCAUGUGUUUCCAGGCAUGGGGAUGAUUCCCUGCCCUUACAGCCUAGGAUGCAGUGAAGAACAGCAUCAGUAUCUGAAUGGUGUCCUCCUGAGUUGGCUGACCGGGAGCUGCUGAAUCCUCUGUUGCCUCUGCAGGCUGUGGUGUGGAGUGACCACCUAUGGAAGCAUCUCUUUCACGUUCCCCCAGAGGCUCGCUCCUCAGAUCUGUCACUCCCCUGCCCCCCACUCUGUCUUUCAGAGUCUUCUUUGGAUCACACCACCUGGGACUACCCACCACUGUCCUCUGGGUGUAGAAAUGGUGCCUGUCCUAAUCCACAUGUCAUCCUAGCCCUGACGCCCUAACACUUACUCUCAUGGAUAAACGGUGAAAAGAGUUAUUAUUAAGAG